rnacentral:pre_miRNA from 1 species
CAUGUACCAGCGGGGUCCCUCAGCCUGGCCUGUGGGAUCGGGCCGAAACCAACUCUCUGACAUCCCCCAAAGGGUCCCAAAUUGCGAGAGGGCACAGGCCAGGCUGAGGGACCCCACCGGUGCACU